GGAGAGGUGGCAGAGUGGUCGAAUGCACCGCACUCGAAAUGCGGCAUACCUGCAAGGGUAUCGUGGGUUCAAAUCCCACCCUCUCCG
rfam:Rhizobium sp. R72 R711_NODE_2, whole genome shotgun sequence.